rnacentral:misc_RNA from 1 species
GUUUUAUUAACUGUUUUUUAACAAUUAGACUUUUGAUUAAAAUUUAAAUAUGGGAAAAACGUAUAAGCACAAAUACACGGGUAACUAAGGCCAGGAUGAAGCAAAAUGUAAGUGUCAAAUACCUAAUAACAAGGGAUAUGGGUGUGACCAAUACAAAGAGAUCAAGCAUUGUCCAUUAGCAUAGCAUUCAUCCAAAUAAGAUUUCAAAUGACAAUUUCUAAUAUUUGAGGAACAGUAUCACUUCAAUGUUUACCAGCGCUAAUGAAAUGCUGCUGCUUCAUCCUUGAAGUGUUUCAGUAGGCUCUCAGUACUCAUCACUGAGUGGUCUGACUUGUCUCUCACUCGCACACUUACCUGUCCAGUUUUGGCUUCCUCUUCACCUACCACCAAUAUAUAGUUGUACUGUGCCAGCUGAGCUUCUCGUACCUUUUUCUGAAUCUUUCGGUCAGUUGUAUCAACAUCAACAUAAUAACCAGCAUCAUGUAUCAGAGCCCGCACCUCUUCUGCAUAAGGUUGGGAUUUCUCAGACACAGGGCAGACAAUCGCUUGACGAGGACUAAGCCAGAAAGGCCAUUUCCCCUUGUAAUGCUCCAAUAGUAUGGCAAACAUACGCUCAACAGACCCUAGAAUGGCCCGGUGUAUCAUAACAGGUCUUUCCCUCUUGGCUUCGUCCUCUGCUGAGUAAUCCAACUCAAAUCGAUCUGGAAGCUGGAAGUCAAGCUGCAAAGUGGCACACUGAAGUUUCCUAUUCAAUGCAUCAGAUACACUUAUAUCUAUUUUUGGUCCAUAGAAAGCUCCAUCACCUUCAUUAAUCUGCCAAGGCUUCCCAAACUCCUCCAAUGCUGCUUUAAGAGCAUCCUCGGCUUUCCCCCAUGUUUCCAAGUUCCCUAGAUAUUUCUCUGGCCUCGUAGAUAGCUUCAGCUCAUAAGCGAAUCCAAAUAUCUUAUAAGCAUAAUCAAUGAAUUCUAAGACACCCAUCGCUUCAUCUUUUAUCUGUUUCUCCAUGCAGAAUAUAUGAGCAUCAUCCUGCUGAAAUCUUCGAACACGUGUUAACCCAGUGAGUGCUCCACUGGCCUCAUUGCGAUGCAAGGCUCCAAAAUCAGCCAGCCGAAGAGGAAGCUCUCUAUAUGAACGGACUCUGUGUUGAAAUAUCAAACAAUGCCCAGGGCAAUUCAUUGGUUUCAGGCCAAACUCUUGCUUCUCAAUCUCGAGCAAAAACAUAUUCUCCUUAUAAUUUGCAGCAUGGCCAGAUGUCUCCCAAAGUUUCAUGUUAUAGAUAUUUGGAGAUUUAACCUCUUCAUAGCCUCUGUCUCUAUAUUGAGCACGUAUAAAUUCCAUUAAUUUAUUGUAAAUUCGAGUUCCAUGUGGAAGGAAAAACCAACUUCCCGGACUCAGUGGAUGACAAAAGAAAAGCUCCUGUUUUGUUCCCAACAAUCUGUGGUCAUACUUCUUUGCUUCUUCCAACUGUUGAAUGUACUCCUUCAAUCGUUUUUGAUCAGGAUAGGAUAUCCCAUAAACUCUUUGUAAACUUUCACGAUCUUUGUUACCCCUCCAAUAGGCUGAUGAAGCCUUCAAACAUGCGAAUGCUUUCACGAAGGAUGUAUUAGGUAUAUGGGGUCCUCGACAUAAAUCUACCAAUGGGCCACACCUGUAUACAGUUAUAGUCUUGUCUGCAGGAAGAUCAUUGAUGAUUUCAACCUUGAAAUUAUUUUCUGAAAACAUCUCAAGUGCUUGUUCCCUUGAUAAUUCAAUGCGCUCAAAAGGUUGCUUUUCCGCAACAGCUUUCAGUGCCCCAGUUUCAAUUUGCUUAAAAUGAUCAUCGUUCAAGCCCAAUUCACCAUAGAAUGCAUCAUAAUAGAAUCCCUCCCCUCUUGUUGUACAGGGUCCAAUACAAAGCUUGCAACCAUACUCCAUCUCCAGUGACUGGCCAAGAAUGUGAGCGCUUGAAUGCCAAAAGGUAUCGCGCCCUUCAUCACUGUCAAAUGUAAAAAUCUUGAGCUCACAAUCGCUCUCUAACGGCCUGUUCAUGUCCCAAAGAGUCCCAUCAACUUGAGCAAUCAAGGCAUUGGCCGCCAAACUCUUAGAAAUCUCUCUGGCAAUAUCCAUCGGAGACGAUAACCAUCUCUUGCCUUCCUUUACUUUCCCGUCUGCCAAAGUAAUCUUGAUGAGGCCGUGCUCGAGGGAUUGAAGGUGGGUAAGCUGCUGUGACUUAAUGGAUUCGAAGAACUUGAUGCGUUUUUCGAUCACUGCUUUGAGAUAGGCUUCGUCUUUGGGGUGAGAGACGGCCAUAGUAGUAGCCAAGGAGGAGAAUAGGCGCCUGCUAGGAGAUUUAGAGAGGAGGAAAUGAGAAGAAUAAAGGCUAAGACGGAAAAGCAGUGCACAUAGCAUAUGAAAGCAGG